GCCUGAGCAUGGAUAGCAGUUGGUUAGAGUGUGGCACUGAUAAUGCCAAGGUUGCAGGUUCGAUCCCAGUAUGGGACA